rnacentral:rRNA from 1 species
AGCGAACGCUGGCGGCAGGCUUAACACAUGCAAGUCGAGCGGGCGUAGCAAUACGUCAGCGGCAGACGGGUGAGUAACACGUGGGAACGUACCUUUUGGUUCGGAACAACACAGGGAAACUUGUGCUAAUACCGAAUAAGCCCUUACGGGGAAAGAUUUAUCGCCGAAAGAUCGGCCCGCGUCUGAUUAGCUUGUUGGUGAGGUAACGGCUCACCAAGGCGACGAUCAGUAGCUGGUCNGAGAGGAUGAUCAGCCACACUGGGACUGAGACACGGCCCAGACUCCUACGGGAGGCAGCAGUGGGAUAUUGGACAAUGGGGCAACCCUGAUCCAGCCAUGCCGCGUGAGUGAUGAAGGCCCUAGGGUUGU